rnacentral:misc_RNA from 1 species
GGCGUGCAGCAUCGGUACGGCGAACUGAUCAUCGCCUAUUACAAGAGCGGCUUCACCGAUCAGUCGCUGUUCAAGCUCGACAAUCUUUAUCUCUACGGCGGGUUGUUCGAUCUCCUGGGGCUUGGCUUAAGCGCCAUCAUCCCGGUCCAUCAGUAUCAACNNNNNNNNNUGUGUGCGCUGAUCGGCAUCGGCGGGAUCGCCGCCGCGGGCGCCACCACACGGCUGAUCGC